rnacentral:piRNA from 1 species
UGAUUGUCCCUGUCAGUUUAUAACUUUGU